GACGAACGCUGGCGGCGUGCUUAACACAUGCAAGUCGAGCGACGCUCUUCCUUCGGGGAGAUGACGGAGCGGCGAACGGGUGAGUAACACGUGGGCAACCUGCCCCUAGCUCUGGGACAACACCGGGAAACCGGUGCUAAUACCGGAUACGACAUCGAGCGGCAUCUCUCGAUGUGGAAAGUUUUUUCGGCUAGGGAUGGGCCCGCGGCCUAUCAGCUUGUUGGGGGGGGAAUGGUCCACCAAGGCGACGACGGGUAGCCGGCCUGGGAGGGCGACCGGCCACACUGGGACUGAGACACGGCCCAGACUCCUACGGGAGGCAGCGGUGGGGAAUAUUGCGCAAUGGGCGAAAGCCUGACGCAGCGACGCCGCGUGAGGGAUGACGGCCUUCGGGUUGUAAACCUCUUUCAGCAGGGACGAAUUCAGACGGUACCUGCAGAAGAAGCACCGGCCAACUACGUG
rnacentral:rRNA from 1 species